rnacentral:rRNA from 1 species
CCACGGGGGGCAGCAGUGGGGAAUAUUGGACAAUGGGCGAAAGCCUGAUCCAGCCAUGCCGCGUGUGUGAAGAAGGCCUUCGGGUUGUAAAGCACUUUCAGUGGGGAAGAAAGCCUUGGGGCUAAUACCCUCGAGGAAGGACAUCACCCACAGAAGAAGCACCGGCUAACUCCGUGCCAGCAGCCGCGGUAAUACGGAGGGUGCGAGCGUUAAUCGGAAUUACUGGGCGUAAAGCGCGCGUAGGCGGUCUGAUAAGCCGGUUGUGAAAGCCCCGGGCUCAACCUGGGAACGGCAUCCGGAACUGUCAGGCUAGAGUGCAGGAGAGGAAGGUAGAAUUCCCGGUGUAGCGGUGAAAUGCGUAGAGAUCGGGAGGAAUACCAGUGGCGAAGGCGGCCUUCUGGACUGACACUGACGCUGAGGUGCGAAAGCGUGGGUAGCAAACAGGAUUAGAUACCCGGGUAGUC